UACGUAGGGUCCGAGCGUUGUCCGGAAUUACUGGGCGUAAAGAGCUCGCAGGCGGUUUGUCGCGUUGUUCGUGAAAACUCACAGCUUAACUGUGGGCGUGCGGGCGAUACGGGCAGACUUGAGUACUGCAGGGGAGACUGGAAUUCCUGGUGUAGCGGUGGAAUGCGCAGAUAUCAGGAGGAACACCGGUGGCGAAGGCGGGUCUCUGGGCAGUAACUGACGCUGAGGAGCGAAAGCGUGGGGAGCGAACAGG
rnacentral:rRNA from 1 species